UACGUAGGGUGCAAGCGUUAAUCGGAAUUACUGGGCGUAAAGCGUGCGCAGGCGGUUUUGUAAGUCUGUCGUGAAAUCCCCGGGCUCAACCUGGGAAUGGCGAUGGAGACUGCAAGGCUAGAGUUUGGCAGAGGGGGUAGAAUUCCACGUGUAGCAGUGAAAUGCGUAGAUAUCUGGAGGAACACCGGUGGCGAAGGCGGCAGUCCUGGACCAACACUGACGCUGAUGAGCGAAAGCCAGGGAGCAACGGG
rnacentral:rRNA from 1 species